GGCACUAUGUGUGUGUGAUGGAUUUCAACGGCUUUCUUCUCUACUUCAUUAGCAAUAGCACUUCAGUAGUUUCAUCGAAUAGAUAAACAUUGGGUUCCGAUAAUGUUGAUGAAGUUGUAAGAGAAAUUCCAAGGUGCAAUGGCUUUUAUUUUAUGCUUGGGUUUAUCCAAGUAUCAGUUUGCUUGUGGAUGGAAUACAUGUAUAUCUUUAUGUGUUUAAAUGCAGUUUUUCAAUUUGAAAUCUCAUUUCUCAUAUCUUCUUCGUCAUGCUCCAUCCUACCCCUUUCCCUGGCUCUGUUUGUCAAACAGCAUGUGAGUAAAUUAUAAUCAAUCUCAGUUCAAGUUCUCAUAGGUAUCCCCAUAUGUGUCACUCACACACUAUCAUAGUAUAACCAUGAUAUCUUCAACAUAAAACAUAGAUAUUUAUAGUUGUUUAAGUCAGAAUGUAUUGGGCAGAGCUGCAAACUAUGGCUUGAUGUGGUAUGACUUCACCUUUUCUUUUCUAUCUCCUUUUUGCCUCCUCCCAACAUUCAACGUUCUCUUUGUGAGAAGGGGGGGUACACCGCGCUUCACCUGGCCUCAAUCCACAGCCACCAGCACAUGGUCCUGGCCUUGAUCAACACUUACAAUGCUAAGACCAACAUCAGAGAUUACCAUGGGAAGAAGCCCGCUUACUACUGGAGUGGGCGUUCAGAUGCCUUCAACAUACCUGGAGCUCAGUCGGUGGCAAGUCCUGAUUGUAAACGUGACGAGAUGUUUGGGAAGUUGGGCUAUGGAAGACGCUCCCACCGCUACCCCCUGCCCGCCAUGCUGCUGUCCCGAUCUCGAAGCCAAGGCCAGCUCAGCACGGAGCUCACCGCUGCCCCCCAGUCCCCGCGGCUCCAGAUCCUGGACAUCCCAAUGGCCUUUUAAAAAGGUCUGCAUCACUGUUUCUGUGCACUUUGAGCCAUUCAACGUUUGAGUCUCCAGGUGAUCCAUGUAGGAAUUGGGUGAAUACCUAAUGGUGGCAAACUAGAUGUGCCGACGAGGGCCCAUGUUUCACCCACCCUGUCUCCAAUGGCCCUUGUAGAGUUUGUUUGCUGUUGGAAAAUGACACAAUUGCAGGUAGCACAGGUACCACAUUAGAAAGCCGUUUUCCACGCUUCAGUCCAUCUUUAAUUAAAUGAUAAUGUACUAAUGUAGAAAGGUGUUACACUUACAACCCAGCUGUAGUUUGCUCAAAUUUAGAGUGUUAAGACAAACGAUCAUCUAAAAAUGUUUCAUUUUAAUUACAAAUGAGAUGUGUUUAUUGAAGCGUCAACACAUGUUUCAAACGUGUCUGGACCAACCACUCCCCAUCAGUAAAGCAUAAAUGUCCUCAUCGAGUUCCAGACCAUUGUCUAGCGCAUUGCAUAAAGCCCAUUAUGGCGCUGAUUAAGCCACACCAGGGUCAUCUGUGCAAAUGAUAAGCAGGAAAUUACACUAUGUGAGGACACAGUCAGCAGCGAUAACCCAAACUGGCUUUAAUAAUGUGGAAAUUAGUGAGCCGCUGAAGGUCUGGGUGAUUUUUGUCUGUGUCUGAAGGCCAGUAAACCUAAUGAGAACAUAUCCAUGGUAAUGAUCGCAUCUGAAUACAAAUGUGCUGAAAAAGAUUCAUAAGCUGUAGGCUAAACAAUUCUCAACAUUUCUGUGUGUAUAAGCAUGUGCGUCAAAUCUAGAGGAAAAAUGUGAUGAUUCCCAUACAGUAUCUGUCUUCAUUUAUAUUUGGCGAGUGAGUGUGUCAUUAAUCUUUAAACCAAUAUUUCUAUAUACUGCCAAAAUGAUCAAAUCCACCUCACUGUCUCUGACUCAAUUGCAUAAUUUCAUAAUAAUAAUAAUAAUCAAAGAAAGGCAUUUCUCUCUGGACAACAUAACAGCUAAAUAUAACCAUCUCAUCAGCUUUAGUCGAUCAGUCAGAGUACAAAUAUCCCUUUUCAGUGAUACUUUUGUGGCCUAACACACACACAGUAAGGAGCUGAGCAGUCCAACGUAUUCACUGCUACCUGAUUGUGGAGUUUAUAUUCAGGCGAGGUGAUCCCUGGCCUAAAGGCACUCUGAGAGAGGGGGUGAGAGAGUGAGAUAAUUAAAGACAGAUUCCUCCACAACGACAAACAAACUGGGUUUUCCAUGGUUGGCUUCCUGCUUACAAAAAGAAAAGUGUCAUUGCCAGUGGGAGGAUGACAUAGAGUCCAAUAUAAUUCCUGCUAUUGGAACCUCCAAUCUAGCAACGAAAUGUAAUUAAAGAUGUUCAGACAACAAAACAUCCCCAUGAAUAUGCCUCAGUUGUGUUGCAUGACGAUUUAAUCCAAUCUAACCUAAUUGUGAUUGGUACGUGCACUUGAGCUCUGUAGUAAGGGAACAACUGUCUAAUCCAUGAGAAGUCACUUUGAACGUCACUGCGCUAGGAAUCACUAAAGCAGCAUCUCUGCAAGAGCAAACACCCUUUACCCCCUCAGCCAAUCAAAAGCUCUUUAUUGAUAAAGCUGGGUCUGCCUUGAGCUUGAGGUUAACCAAUGAGAUGAGUUAUGUUUAUGGGUCCUUGAAUGCACUUCUCCACGGCGUGACAACAAUGCUGCGACCUUUGAACUUCCCUGCUUGCCUUCGUGACCUACGACCCCAGUAUUUUCCCACAGCUGUCAAUGUCCACAAUGGCCGUUAGGCCGGCCAGCCAAUGAGGUGAUGUGUGCACUUUGUCGACAAGGAGGGGGGGGCAAAUGAAAACAGUGUCGUUAACUCAUCUACGGGUCAUUGUCUGUCCCAAAAUGGCUGUCACGGUGGCUCCCAGUCAAUGGGAAAUGGGGCCUAAUGAGCUGAAAAGCCACAUCAAAGGCGCACACAAAGAAAGCAAUCCCAGCAAUCCUCUGAUGUGUUACUCCAUGCAGAUCGCACAAAAGCCCCUUUGUUCUGAUGUGUUUCGGUGUUGAGUGUUAGCUAAUGUGUGUGUGGGGGGUGUGUGUGUGUGUGGGAGAGAGGCUGAAAGAGGGUGCGUAUUUGUCGGUCUGUGUUGUGGUCACCUUUUGAAUGACGCGACUAGUGCUUUGAAAACCACACGUUUUUGUGAGAUUAAUUGUAAUUGCAAGUGCUGUUUUAACUGGGGGUUUCAUUAAAAAUGUCUCUUUGGAGUCUGACCAAUGUUUCUCCUUUAAAUCCCUUCCUAAAAAUGCAACCAGAUAAGAAAAAAACGGACUUUAUACAAAUAUUGUAAAUAUUGUAUUAUAUAUCAUUCUAUCUCUAUAUAAAGAUACAAAAUACAUAAUACACAAUAUACAUAAUUCAACUAUAAAUAGUUCUCUUGCGGACUAAACCCAUGAGAUGGGCCAAAUGCAACGACACCAGCCUUCAGAAAGGCCUGAACAGCUUUGUCAUCACGGAUUACGGACAAAGUCAACCCCGGUCCCUGAUUGGCUCACAGAAUAGCAGCAUUUACAUUUGAUUAGUCACACCCACCCAUAGUGACGUUUUGUCCAACUGAGGGUGUCAGAGAGAUUGACACAGCACAGCUGAGGGCCUCACUCACGUUGUGUCACAAUAAGAGCUCUCCAGUGCAGUGAAGCCAGAAAAAAAUCAUCUCAGGUUAGACUCCAUAAAGAUGGCUCACAAGUCUGCACAGGGCAUUUGGUCAUUUUUGGUGGAAGCAUUGGCGGAGAUAAUAUUUCACCAAUACCCCAGACCCCAUACUAUUUAUCAUUAAAACAGAAAUAAUGAAGGCGUUACUGUAUAUAAUAUCAACACUAAAUCAACAUAAAAGGAUGUGCUUUCAAAGGGGUAGUGAACCUUAGUUUCUAAACAUGGUCAUAUAUUAUCUUCCACAUAACAAUAUAUUCCAUUUUAUCACUAUUACUGACACAUGAAUGUUAUUUAGAGAAAACAGUAUACAAAUCCUAUGUUAUUUUCCUAACCAGUUUGUGAACAUUGCUCCGAACGCAGGUUGUGUUCUUUUUAUGACGGCUGACUUUUAGAUUACUGUUUGACGUCAUGAAGGGACACCAGUCUGCACAUCGGUUUUUGACGUCUGCUUUGAGAAAGGGUUAGGCUUCCUGAACACUCAUAGUAUAAAACGCCCCGUUGUGUGGUGCAUUUCAUAUACAACAUCGCCCAUUAACGCUCAUACACAAAGACAGUCCUACUAAAAAUGUAUGAAUGCUAACCCCCCUCUGUCCUAGAACGCUCAGCUCAGAACAAUUUAUUUUAAAUCUCAUACUGUUCCAAUACAAGCUGUAAACGGGCAGAAGGUAACAAAAGUCUUAUUGUGUUGGGGUUCACAUCCUUCCCAGUGCAUGGUUCUCUAAAUGAUCAGACAUUUAGGGAAGACACUACAUCUUGACACAACAUCUUAAAUUCUGUAUGAACUAAGUGCAGCUCUAUGAAUCACAUAGUCAAAGAACAGGUUAGUGGAAAAUAUAUACAUGAGUUGUAAUCAGGUAUAUUAUCUGAAAACUGGCCGUGUUGGAGUAAUAAUGAACAGUACAUCUUAUCGUCUUUUCUAAACGGCCAAACAAACCAAAAUCCAUAAAAUCAUCCGACUGACGUAUGACGUGUCCCUAGUCCUAUUCCUGUAAUGUUCCAUAACGUCUAGCAGACCACACCGCUGAGCAGAGCCCAAACCAACCGCGACCGCCCCAGCGGCCCUGACUGACGCGUGUGGCCGUCAGUCACUCAGGAUGAUUGCUGUCGCCCGCACCAGCCUGCUGCUGCGACGCCUUUCCCCGUGUAAAGGUGUGCCCAGCAGGCCCGCCGUGCGCCAGGAGCCGGACUCUCAACGAGCUGCAGGCGGCGGGCUGACAGACAGCACACAGUGAGACUACAGUGGGACUGUAGACCUAGUCAUCAGCGCCCAUAGGAUAGGAUAGAGGAAGGGUUCCAACGGGCCACCGCACAUCAACCUUUUUAUGGCUCCCUUAUCUCUGCUAAACUUGAUAAAAUAAAGAAAGAGACACGAAACCGAUAGGUAAAUCUCUUCAAUGCUCAAAUUGGUUUGCUACUAUUUUUCAUAGCAGACGUGUUCGUCCAAAGGAUCUAUGUCAUUGAGGGACAGUGUGUGGACCUUGGGGAUCAAACCUAGUACCUUUAAGCUGAUACCAAACAAAACCCUUUUAAGGUUUUGGUUUGGACAACAUCCUCACUCAGUGUGUUAUCUGAACAGCUGGCUGCCAUGCAGGAGCCAAUACUAAGAUUUGUCUGCUUCUAAUGGUUAAACCAUCCCACCAGCAGCCUUGG